CUCAGAACGAACGCUGGCGGCAGGCCUAACACAUGCAAGUCGAGCGGGGGAGCAAUCCCUAGCGGCGGACGGGUUAGUAACGCGUGGGAACAUACCCUUUGGUACGGAAUAGCCUCGGGAAACUGAGAGUAAUACCGUAUGUGCCCUUCGGGGGAAAGAUUUAUCGCCAAAGGAUUGGCCCGCGUUGGAUUAGGUAGUUGGUGGGGUAAUGGCCUACCAAGCCGACGAUCCAUAGCUGGUUUGAGAGGAUGAUCAGCAACACUGGGACUGAGACACGGCCCAGACUCCUACGGGAGGCAGCAGUGGGGAAUCUUAGACAAUGGGCGAAAGCCUGAUCUAGCCAUGCCGCGUGGACGAUGAAGGCCUUAGGGUUGUAAAGUCCUUUCAGAUGGGAAGAUAAUGACGGUACCAUCAGAAGAAGCCCCGGCUAACUCCGUG
rnacentral:rRNA from 1 species